AGCAGCCGCGGUAAUUCCAGCUCCAAUAGCGUAUAUUAAAGUUGUUGCAGUUAAAAAGCUCGUAGUUGAAUUUCGGGAUCAGUUGGUCGGUCGUGCCUCGGUACGUACUGGUCAAAUUGAUUCCUACCUUCUGACGAACCACGAUGUCAUUAAUUUGGUGUCGCGGGAAAUCGGGACUGUUACUUUGAAAAAAUUAGAGUGUUUAAAGCAGGCUCGCGCUUGAAUACAUUAGCAUGGAAUAAUGAAAUAGGACGUUUGAUUCUAUUUUGUUGGUUUCUAGGAUCGACGUAAUGAUUAAUAGGGAUAGUUGGGGGCAUUAGUAUUCAAUUGUCAGAGGUGAAAUUCUUGGAUUUAUUGAAGACUAACUACUGCGAAAGCAUUUGCCAAGGAUGUUUUCAUUAAUCAAGAACGAAAGUUAGGGGAUCGAAGACGAUCAGAUACCGUCGUAGUCUUAACCAUAAACUAUGCCGACUAGGGAUCGGAUGAUGUUAAUUUUUUAAUGACUCAUUCGGCGCCUUAC
rnacentral:misc_RNA from 1 species